rnacentral:lncRNA from 1 species
UUAAGCUACAAAUUAGAACUCUGCAAAUAACCCAUAGAACAAAUCCUACCAAUAACUUACCUUCUUGAGCAAAACUUCAAAACUAAAACAAGUGAAGCAGAAUGCAGCUGAACUUUCCUCCAGUAAUUGGGCUAAAUCAUGUUAAGACAAAACACGUUAGCAUCAACACGACGGCACCUUUACGCAUCGUCGAAAUGAGAAGGGAUUUUCCCAAGAUGCUUACAUUUCGUUAAAACCAAAUGUUCAAGCUUAGGAAAAGCAUCAUAAGAGACAGACCAUUGUGCAA